rnacentral:rRNA from 1 species
UACGGAGGGAGCUAGCGUUGUUCGGAAUUACUGGGCGUAAAGAGCUCGUAGGCGGUUUGUCGCGUCGGCUGUGAAAACUCGGGGUCACCACCCGAGCCUGCAGUCGAUACGGGCAAACUAGAGUUCGGCAGGGGAGACUGGAAUUCCUGGUGUAGCGGUGAAAUGCGCAGAUAUCAGGAGGAACACCGGUGGCGAAGGCGGGUCUCUGGGCCGAUACUGACGCUGAGGAGCGAAAGCGUGGGGAGCGAACAGG